GAUGGGCAUGCGUGACAUUAGCUAGUUGGUAAGGUAACGGCUUACCAAGGCGACGAUGUCUAGGGGAACUGAGAGGUUGAUCCCCCACACUGGUACUGAGACACGGACCAGACUCCUACGGGAGGCAGCAGUGAGGAAUAUUGGUCAAUGGGCGGAAGCCUGAACCAGCCAUGCCGCGUGAAGGAAGAAGGUCCUAUGGAUUGUAAACUUCUUUUAUACGGGAGCAAUAAGAACUACGUGUAGUUCGAUGAGAGUACCGUAAGAAUAAGCACCGGCUAACUCCGUGCCAGCAGCCGCGGUAAUACGGAGGGUGCAAGCGUUAUCCGGAUUCAUUGGGUUUAAAGGGUGCGUAGGCGGACUGGAAAGUCAGUGGUGAAAUGCUUGGGCUUAACCGAGGCACUGCCAUUGAUACUAUCAGACUAGAGUACAAACGGAGUGGGCGGAAUAUGUCAUGUAGCGGUGAAAUGCAUAGAUAUGACAUAGAACACCGAUCGCGAAGGCAGCUCACUAGAAUGUAACUGACGCUGAGGCACGAAAGCGUGGGGAUCAAACAGGAUUAGAUACCCUGGUAGUCCACGCUGUAAACGAUGAUAACUCGUUGUCGGCAAUAUAUCGUCGGUGACUAAGGGAAACCGAUAAGUUAUCCACCUGGGGAGUACG
rnacentral:rRNA from 1 species